UUAGAUUUUUAUUAGAUUGUCAGUGAUUAUCUCGAUGCUAUAGUUGUGUGAAUGAUCUUUUGAGCUACGAUGGUACGACUGCUCGCAAUGAGACUACUGAAAUUUGACUGACAUAUAAACAUGAUCUCAAAGAGCCCUUAUAGUAGAUGUUGGCGACAGUUAAUCCACUACAGGAGUAGGGUAUGCACCAAGAUAGAAUCUAUCGAUCUUGAUAAAAAGGAGUAGUCCUAUGAGAUUUGAGAGGCUA
rnacentral:lncRNA from 1 species